rnacentral:misc_RNA from 1 species
GAUGAAGAACGUAGCGAAAUGCGAUAAGUAAUGUGAAUUGCAGAAUUCAGUGAAUCAUCGAAUCUUUGAACGCACCUUGCGCUCUUUGGUAUUCCGAAGAGCAUGCCUGUUUGAGUGUCAUGAAAAUAUCAACCUUGACUUGGGUUUUGUGCUCUAGUCUCGGCUUGGAAUUGGGUGCUUGCCGCUUUUACGAGCGGCUCACCUUAAAUGUAUUAGCUGGAUCUGUCUUGGAGACUUGGUUUGACUUGGCGUAAUAAGUAUUUCGCUAAGGACAUUCUUCGGAGUGGCCUCGUUUCUAGGACGCUUGUCCGCUUUCCAAUACAAGUUCCACCUCGUGGACAUGACUUUUUAUUAUCUGGCCUCAAAUCAGGUAGGACUACCCGCUGAACUUAAGCAUAUCAAUAAGCGGAGGA